rnacentral:rRNA from 1 species
GACGAACGCUGGCGGCGGGCUUAACACAUGCAAGUCGAACGGAAAGGCCCUGCUUUUGUGGGGUGCUCGAGGGGCGAACGGGUGAGUAACACGUGAGUAACCUGCCCUUGACUUUGUGAUAACUGCAGGAAACUGGGGCUAAUACCGGAGAGGAGCUCCUGCUGCAGGGUGGGGGUUGGAAAGUUUCGGCGGUUGGGGAUGGACUCGCGGCUUAUCAGCUUGUUGGUGGGGUAGUGGCUUACCAAGGCUUCGACGGGUAGCCGGCAUGAGAGGGUGACCGGCCACAUUGGGACUGAGAUACGGCCCAGACUCCUACGGGAGGCAGCAGUGGGGAAUAUUGCACAAUGGGCGGAAGCCUGAUGCAGCAACGCCGCGUGCGGGAUGACGGCCUUCGGGUUGUAAACCGCUUUCGCCUGUGACGAAGCGUGAGUGACGGUAAUGGGUAAAGAAGCACCGGCUAACUACGUG